GUGCGAGACCGAUAGCGAACAAGUACCGUGAGGGAAAGAUGAAAAGAACUUUGAAAAGAGAGUUAAAGAGUACCUGAAACUGCUGAAAGGGAACCGAAUCGUAUCCAGUGUCUAUAAUCCAUGGCAUAUUUCAUUGGCGAGUGAGUGCGUGCAGCGUUUUGGAAGUGGUUUUCCGCUCCUGUCGUUGUUGUGCAUUUGCUUGCUGGUGCCCUGUGCUGUGGUGGGACGUCAGAGUCAGUUUGUAUGUUGCGGGAAAUGGUUAUUGGGGAGGUAGGUCACUUCGGUGGCUGUUAUAUCCUGGUAACUAGUCGUCGUGGCUGAGACUGAGGUGCCUACAAUGUGCUUUCGAGUGUGCGGGAUUCUCGUGUGGCUGUUUGCUUUGAUAGCUUGCUAUGUUGGUGAAUAAGUCGUGCGAUUGAGGCUUGUAUUAACUUGUUGCUGUUCGGGACUUUGAA
rnacentral:rRNA from 2 species